rnacentral:rRNA from 1 species
UACGUAGGGUGCGAGCGUUGUCCGGAAUUAUUGGGCGUAAAGAGCUCGUAGGCGGUCUGUCGCGUCGAUCGUGAAAACUUGGGGCUUAACCCUGAGCUUGCGGUCGAUACGGGCAUGACUGGAGUUCGGCAGGGGAGACUGGAAUUCCUGGUGUAGCGGUGAAAUGCGUAGAUAUCGAAAGGAACACCUGCGGCGAAGGCGGGUUGCUGGGCUGACACUGACGCUGAGGCGCGAAAGCGUGGGGAGCAAACAGG